AUUUGAGAAGAGGUUGCAGAUGAUCAAGGAGCGACACGUGCAGGGAUGGCUUGAAAAGGGUGAUUGGCUUCAGGGUCCAGGUGAGACCUAGUGGUAACUGAGUUGCAGGUAUGCCAUCAGAGAGCUCCUUCUGCCUGGGCUGCACUUUUGGAAUAAGUCCGCCCGGGCCCAUUUCGGCGGCGCCGCCCGGGCCCAUUU